rnacentral:rRNA from 1 species
GACGAACGCUGGCGGCGUGCCUAACACAUGCAAGUCGAGCGGAGACACUGAGGAGCUUGCUCCGAGGUGUUUUAGCGGCGGACGGGUGAGUAACGCGUGAGCAACCUUUCCUCUACUGGGGAAUAACACAUCGAAAGGUGUACUAAUACCGCAUGAGACCACAGCACUGCAUGGUGCAGGGGUCAAAGAUUUAUCGGUAGAGGGUGGGCUCGCGUCUGAUUAGAUAGUUGGUGGGGUAACGGCCUACCAAGUCGACGAUCAGUAGCCGACCUGAGAGGGUGAUCGGCCACAUUGGGACUGAGACACGGCCCAAACUCCUACGGGAGGCAGCAGUGGGGAAUAUUGGGCAAUGGGGGAAACCCUGACCCAGCAACGCCGCGUGAGGGAAGACGGUUUUCGGAUUGUAAACCUUGUCUUUGGUGACGAAGAAGUGACGGUAACCAAGGAGGAAGCCACGGCUAACUACGUG